rnacentral:rRNA from 1 species
GACGAACGCUGGCGGCGUGCUUAACACAUGCAAGUCGAACGGUAAGGCCCUUCGGGGUACACGAGUGGCGAACGGGUGAGUAACACGUGGGUGAUCUGCCCUGCACUUCGGGAUAAGCCUGGGAAACUGGGUCUAAUACCGGAUAGGACUCCGGACUGCAUGGUCAGGGGUGGAAAGCUUUUGCGGUGUGGGAUGGGCCCGCGGCCUAUCAGCUUGUUGGUGGGGUGAUGGCCUACCAAGGCGACGACGGGUAGCCGGCCUGAGGGGGUGACCGGCCCCACUGGGACUGAGAUACGGCCCAGACUCCUACGGGAGGCAGCAGUGGGGAAUAUUGCACAAUGGGCGCAAGCCUGAUGCAGCGACGCCGCGUGAGGGAUGACGGCCUUCGGGUUGUAAACCCCUUUCAGCAUCGACGAAGCGAAAGUGACGGUAGGUGCAGAAGAAGGACCGGCCAACUACGUGCCAGCCGCGGCGGUAA